rnacentral:rRNA from 1 species
CAGUCGCCGCGGUAAUACGAAGGGUGCAAGCGUUAAUCGGAAUUACUGGGCGUAAAGCGUGCGCAGGCGGUUUGUUAAGACAGAUGUGAAAUCCCCGGGCUCAACCUGGGAACUGCAUUUGUGACUGGCAAGCUAGAGUGUGGCAGAGGGGGGUGGAAUUCCGCGUGUAGCAGUGAAAUGCGUAGAUAUGCGGAGGAACACCGAUGGUGAAGGCAGCCCCCUGGGCCAACACUGACGCUCAUGCACGAAAGCGUGGGGAGCAAACAGGAUUAGAUACCCCAGUAGUCCCUGUCUCUUAUAC